rnacentral:rRNA from 1 species
GUCUAUGGCCAUGCAACCCUGAACAAACCCAAUCCCGUCUGAUCUUGGAAACUAUGCAGGGUCCGGGUCUGUUUACUACCUGGAUGGGAGAUCACCUAGGAAGACCAGGUGCUGUAGGCA